rnacentral:rRNA from 1 species
UACGUAGGGGGCAAGCGUUGUCCGGAUUUAUUGGGCGUAAAGAGCGUGUAGGCGGCCAUACAGGUCAGCUGUGAAAACUCGAGCUCAACCUCGAGACGCCGAUGGAAACCCUCAGACUAGAGUCCGGAAGAGGAGAGUGGAAUUCCUGGUGUAGCGGUGAAAUGCGCAGAUAUCAGGAGGAACACCAAUAGCGAAGGCAGCUCGCUGGGACGUUUACUGACACUGAGGCGCGAAAGCGUGGGGAGCGAACAGG